AAACUUAAAGGAAUUGACGGGGACCCGCACAAGCGGUGGAUGAUGUGGUUUAAUUCGAUGCAACGCGAAAAACCUUACCCACCUUUGACAUGGCAGGAAUCCUGAAGAGAUUCGGGAGUGCUCGAAAGAGAACCUGCACACAGGUGCUGCAUGGCUGUCGUCAGCUCGUGUCGUGAGAUGUUGGGUUAAGUCCCGCAACGAGCGCAACCCUUGCCAUUAGUUGCUACGAAAGGGCACUCUAAUGGGACUGCCGGUGACAAACCGGAGGAAGGUGGGGAUGACGUCAAGUCCUCAUGGCCCUUAUAGGUGGGGCUACACACGUCAUACAAUGGCCGGUACAGAGGGUAGCCAACCCGCGAGGGGGAGCCAAUCCCGCAAAGCCGGUCGUAGUCCGGAUCGCAGUCUGCAACUCGACUGCGUGAAGUCGGAAUCGCUAGUAAUCGCGGAUCAGAAUGUCGCGGUGAAUACGUUCCCGGGUCUUGUACACACCGCCCGUCACACCAUGGGAGCGGGUUCUGCCAGAAGUAGUUAGCCUAACCGCAAGGAGGGCGAUUACCACGGCAGGGUUCGUGACUGGGGUGAAGUCGUAACAAGGUAGCCGUAUCGGAAGGUGCGGCUGGAUCACCUCCUUUAUG
rnacentral:rRNA from 1 species